rnacentral:rRNA from 1 species
GACGAACGCUGGCGGCGUGCCUAAUACAUGCAAGUAGAACGCUCAAGGAGGAGCUUGCUCUUCCGGACGAGUUCCGAACGGGUGAGUAACGCGUAGGUAACCUGUCUGUUAGCGGGUGAUAACAAUUGGGAACGAUAGCUCAUAUCGCAUAAAAUUGAUUAUUGCAUGUUAUUCAAUAUAAAAGUGCAAUUGCAUCACUACCAGAUGGACUUGCGUUUUAUUAGUUAGUUAGUGAGGUAAAGGCUCACCAAGGCAACGAUACAUAGCCGACCUGCGAGGGUGAUCGGCCACACUGGGACUGAGACACGGCCCAGACUCCUACGGGAGGCAGCAGUAGGGAAUCUUCGGCAAUGGACGGAAGUCUGACCGAGCAACGCCGCGUGAGUGAAGAAGGUUUUCGGAUCGUAAAGCUCUGUUGUAAGAGAAGAACGAGUGUGAGAGUGGAAAGUUCACACUGUGACGGUAUCUUACCAGAAAGGGACGGCUAACUACGUG